GGGUUGUGAGGUUAAGCGACUAAGCGUACACGGUGGAUGCCCUGGCAGUCAGAGGCGAUGAAGGGCGUGCUAAUCUGCGAUAAGCGCCGGUAAGGUGAUAUGAACCGUUAUAACCGGCGAUACCCGAAUGGGGAAACCCAGUGUGACUCGUCACACUAUCAUUAACUGAAUCCAUAGGUUAAUGAGGCGAACCGGGGGAACUGAAACAUCUAAGUACCCCGAGGAAAAGAAAUCAACCGAGAUUCCCCCAGUAGCGGCGAGCGAACGGGGAGGAGCCCAGAGCCUGAAUCAGCAUGUGUGUUAGUGGAAGCGUCUGGAAAGGCGCGCGAUACAGGGUGACAGCCCCGUACACAAAAGCGCAUAUGCUGUGAGCUCGAUGAGUAGGGCGGGACACGUGGUAUCCUGUCUGAAUAUGGGGGGACCAUCCUCCAAGGCUAAAUACUCCUGACUGACCGAUAGUGAACCAGUACCGUGAGGGAAAGGCGAAAAGAACCCCGGCGAGGGGAGUGAAAAAGAACCUGAAACCGUGUACGUACAAGCAGUGGGAGC
rnacentral:rRNA from 1 species